AUAAAAUUUCGUUUAAAUAAUUUAGCUUAUUGAAAACCCAUAGCAACUUUUGGCAUCAAAAUGGCGACUCGCGGAAAUUUUUAACAAAUUGUUGUGAUUCGUAUCUGUUGAGGAUUUACGAUAAUAUUUUUGCUGUUAAAUUGACAGCUGAAAUAUGUCGUUAAAAACAACGAGUCCGACGAGAUCGUCGCGAGCAGAGUUGCUGGACGGGACAACUUCUAAAGCAGGGAUUGAGUCCAGCCGUACCCCUGAGAGAACUGAUAGAACAGAAAAACAUGAAAGGAGCAGGCACCUUCAUCCAAGAUGGUCGAAAGGAAGCCGACAACCUUCAUCCGAGACUUCGUCAACUUUCCACCCGGCCCGACAGCCUUUGUAUAAAGGGUGAGAAACAAAAUGCACG